rnacentral:rRNA from 1 species
UACGUAGGGUGCGAGCGUUGUCCGGAAUUAUUGGGCGUAAAGGGCUCGUAGGCGGUUUGUCACGUCGGGAGUGAAAACUCAGGGCUUAACCCUGAGCCUGCUUCCGAUACGGGCAGACUAGAGGUAUGCAGGGGAGAACGGAAUUCCUGGUGUAGCGGUGAAAUGCGCAGAUAUCAGGAGGAACACCGAUGGCGAAGGCAGGUCUCUGGGCAUUAACUGACGCUGAGGAGCGAAAGCAUGGGGAGCGAACAGG